GAUGAACGCUGGCGGCGUGCUUAACACAUGCAAGUCGAACGAAGCACUCAUGCGUUCUCGGACAAAUGAGUGACUGAGUGGCGGACGGGUGAGUAACGCGUGGGUAACCUGGCUCAUACAGGGGGAUAACAGCUGGAAACGGCUGCUAAUACCGCAUAAGCGCACAGUAUCGCAUGAUACGGUGUGAAAAACUCCGGUGGUAUGAGAUGGACCCGCGUCUGAUUAGCUAGUUGGUGAGGUAAAGGCCCACCAAGGCGACGACCAGUAGCCGACCUGAGAGGGUGACCGGCCACAUUGGGACUGAGACACGGCCCAAACUCCUACGGGAGGCAGCAGUGGGGAAUAUUGCUCAAUGGGCGAAAGCCUGAUGCAGCGACGCCGCGUGAGCGAAGAAGUAUUUCGGUAUGUAAAGCUCUAUCAGCAGGGAAGAAUAAUGACGGUACCUGACUAAGAAGCACCGGCUAAAUACGUGCCAGCAGCCGCAGUAA
rnacentral:rRNA from 1 species